rnacentral:Y_RNA from 1 species
GAGUGGUCCGAGUGCAGUGGUGUUUAUAACAAACCCAUCACAACCAGUUAGAUUCCUUUGUUCCUUCUCCGCUCCCACUGCCUCACUUGAGUAGCCUUAA